AGGAGAGGAGUGGAAAGAAGGAGGCAGAGAGGAAUGAGUCAAAGGUAGACGUGGGGAGGUUAAAGUCGCCCAGAACUGUGAGAGGUGAGCCGUCCUCAGGAAAGGAGCUUAUCAAGGCAUCAAGCUCAUUGAUGAACUCUCCGGGGGACCUGGAGGGCGAUAAAUGAUAAGGAUGUUAAGCUUGAAAGGGCUGGUAACUGUGACAGCAUGAAAUUCAAAGGAGGCGAUAGACAGAUGGCAUACCUUCAUAGCACAGAACCAUUACCUCAUCCAAUGGCAUAACUCAAUUGUCAACUCUAGAUACUCCCAUCUAAAGUUAAACCCCUUCUUGACCCCUCUCCUGGACAAACUCACUGAGGAGAGUGAGCCUCUAUGUCAUACACUAUCCCAGGAUAAGUGCAACACCAGAGAGGACGUACAAUGGUUCCAGACACUGCCCUACACCUCCCGCCAAUGCCAAAGGAGGGAGUGACUUGCGCACAGACAUUGUGGAGACAAGUAAUUGGUUCCCCCUUAAUCAUGCCAUCCCUUCAAAAGGUUUAACAGAUACAUUCACAUAUGAAGACAAUGUUCCAUCCUGUCCUCUUCCCUUUCUGAUAUUCUGCAUAGCACCAGGGAUAUGUGAAAGACAAGCCUGACCUCUCCCCUCUCUGGGCCCCAAGUGACUGAGCCCCAGCUGAGGGAAAAGUGCAACUGCCAACACCAUUAUCAUUAGAAAUACAUUCUAAUAGACACAUAUAUCACAUAAACAUAUUAUUCAAUACCAGCAUUAUAACAUAAUCUUGCAAUUUUCCACAACAAGGUGCCAUUGAGGUAACUUUGAGUAUGAUGAUCUUGGAUCACUAUAUUAUCCAAGUGAAGUAAACCACCUUUUUUUUACCCUGAUCGUGUUUGUUCUUUUGUUCCUUAAUUCAUUCAUCCAGGUGACAGGAUACAGGGGUUUAGUGUCCUGACCUGACAAGAGGUUGUGUUCUUACCCUGACAUUGAUCCCGCCAUCAACAACCUGGCAUCUCACUCUCCAGCUGCUUCCACCACAGGCCCAGUGACAUCUGAGAAAUGAGUUUUUCUCACUUAAAAUUCAACAACUGUUCUGUAAUACCCAAUUGAAUUCGAACCCUGACCUUUGACCCCGGCCACUCCUCUUCCAGUGCCGGGGGUCAGUACAGACCUGUACUGUGGUUGCAGUCCUGGGGGUCAGUGCUGCUGUCUGUCUCCUGGCUGCCCUGAUGGUGGCCUACGGGAGGUACCACUCCUCCAGAGUCAGGGUGCAUGCUGACCAAAUGACUACCGAUGGAAUCAAAUGACUACCGAUGGAAACUGGGACCCUAUUAUGGCCGUGAGAGUUUAUAGCCAGAGCUUCACCUUUGCAGGGGAAGAGAACAAACAAAAUAUAUAUUGUUGUUAUGUUUCUGUUAUUUUGUAUUAUUUUUUAAAGAUUUAUCAACAGCUUUGCCAGUUUGUGCUUUGGCAGUGAGAUUACAGUACAAUACUGAAUACAGUGUUACAUUAAAAUACAUCAUAAAUACAGGCAGUAAAGUAGUAGAGAUUCUCUCUCCUGCCUAUUCUUCAAUCCCUCCAUCCCCCAGGCAACCUCAUCACCAGCUGACUGACAGAGUGGUGCUGGAUCCCAUAACAGGAGAGCAGGCAUGAGUCUUCCAGCUUGGGACUGUGUCCUGUCUUUUGUCCUGCGUCCUGUUUUGUGUGUUUUUGUGUUUGAAUGGUGUAAACUCCCAAAUUUGACUAGUAAACAUAUAUAUUUUAACUGUA